rnacentral:rRNA from 1 species
AUACGUAGGGUGCGAGCGUUGUCCGGAAUUACUGGGCGUAAAGAGCUCGUAGGUGGUUUGUCGCGUCGUCUGUGAAAUUCCGGGGCUUAACUCCGGGCGUGCAGGCGAUACGGGCAUAACUUGAGUACUGUAGGGGAGACUGGAAUUCCUGGUGUAGCGGUGAAAUGCGCAGAUAUCAGGAGGAACACCGGUGGCGAAGGGGGGUCUCUGGGCAGUAACUGACGCUGGGGAGCGAAAGCAUGGGUAGCGAACAGGAUUAGAUACCCUGGUAGUCCAUGCCGUAAACGGUGGGCGCUAAGUGUAGGGGUCUUCCACGACUUCUGUGCCGUAGCUAACGCAUUAAGCGCCCCGCCUGGGGAGUACGGCCGCAAGGCUAAAACUCAAAUGAAUUGACGGGG